CCUACGGGAGGCAGCAGUGAGGAAUAUUGGUCAAUGGCCGGAAGUCUGAACCAGCCAUGCCGCGUGAAGGUCAGUGCCCUAUGGGCGUUAAACUUCUUUUGUUCGGGAGCAAUAAUGGUCACGUGUGGCCCGCCGAGAGUACCGUCCUAAUAAGCAUCGGCUAACUCCGUUCCAGCAGCCGCGGUAAUACGGGGGCUGCAAGCGUUAUCCGGAUUUAUUGGGUUUAAAGGGUGCGUAGGGGGAGUGUUAAGUCAGCGGUAAAAGCCCUGGGCUCAACGUAGGCGAGCCGUUGAUACUGGCGGGCUGGAGAGGGAGUGAGGUAGGCGGAAUGCGUAGUGUAGCGGUGAAAUGCUUAGAUAUCGCGCAGAACCCCGAUUGCGAAGGCAGCAUACCGGCGGGGAACUGACGCUGAUGCACGAAAGCGUGGGUAUCGAACAGGAUUAGAUACCCCUGUAGUC
rnacentral:rRNA from 1 species